UGGAAAUUAAAUUAUGUCAUCACGCGCUGUUUGCGUCAGGAACUACCCUGCUGCAAUUUCACACGUGUUUAUGCUUCCAAAGACUUUAGGACAGCAGGAACUGGCAUAGUAGGAGGAUAGUUUAAACCCCGAGAGGAAUGUGCGUGUUCACGAAAGACGUCGCUGAUUCUGACUGACUUUAGUAGACAGGAUGAAUAAUGAAAGUCCUGCUCCUCCUGCCACCGGCGCCAUUACUCCCCUCCAACAGAUGGUGGCGUCCUGCUCCGGUGCCAUCCUUACGUCGCUGUUUGUUACACCUCUGGAUGUUGUGAAGAUCAGGCUACAAGCACAGAAAAAUCCCUUUCCCAAAGGUGAAAUGAAUUUACACUGUGUUGACUGACUGUAUUUUUGUUUUGUUUUUUAAAUUCUGUUACAUAUAUCAGACCGUGAUACUGCGCAUGCAAAAACAAGCAUUAUUGUGGGUCCAUUAUAUACUAAACCAGGGGAGUCAAACUAAUUUUCGUUAAGGGGCAGUAUAAACUGUCACUUUAUAAACUUUAUAACCUACACGAAUCAGGAGUGGGAUUAGGAAGCAGCUAGAAGAGAGCCUGGAGAAGUGGAGGCAUGAAAGUCAGAAUACAUGUGUGUGAAUGGAAGGGAGACAGUGUAACAGUCAAGGUGGAUGAGUUUAAUACCUGCAAUGAAACAUCCAAAGCGCCAAAACUGCUUUUAUAUUUCCAUACAUUUUCAUACCCUUGUUGUACUGCUAGCUUCACAUUACCACACUAGAAACAGCAGUGAAUUUUACUCAAUAAUUGGUUUAGCCAGUAACAACUUCAUCGAAAUGUUCGCAUUUUGCUGACCUGAACAUCCAGCUGGCCUGCGUUUGAUGUCACUGUAUUAAAUGUUAAUGUUAAUAUUUUUCAGGCAAAUGCUUUGUCUACUGCAAUGGACUUAUGGACCACAUAUGUAUAUGUGAAAAUGGGAAUUCCAAGGCCUGGUACAAAGCUCCAGGUCACUUUAGUGGCACGCUGGUAAAAUUUUACAUCCACAUUACAGUUUACCACUAUAAUUAC